rnacentral:rRNA from 1 species
GACGAACGCUGGCGGCGUGCUUAACACAUGCAAGUCGAACGGAAAGGCCCCUUUGAGGGUACUCGAGUGGCGAACGGGUGAGUAACACGUGAGUAACCUUCCCUUGACUUCGGGAUAACUUCAGGAAACUGGGGCUAAUACCGGAUAGGAAUCCUUGCUGCAUGGUGGGGGUUGGAAAGCUUCGGCGGUUUUGGAUGGACUCGCGGCUUAUCAGCGUGUUGGUGGGGUAGUGGCUUACCAAGGCUUUGACGGGUAGCCGGCCUGAGAGGGCGACCGGCCACAUUGGGACUGAGAUACGGCCCCGACUCCUACGGGAGGCAGCAGUGGGGAAUAUUGCACAAUGGGCGGAAGCCUGAUGCAGCAACGCCGCGUGCGGGAUGACGGCCUUCGGGUUGUAAAACGCUUUCAGCAGGGGCGAAGCUUGUGGUGACGGUACCUGCAGAAGAAGCACCGGCUAACUACGUG